UACGGAGGGUGCAAGCGUUAUCCGGAUUCACUGGGUUUAAAGGGUGCGUAGGUGGGAAGGUAAGUCAGUGGUGAAAUCCCCCGAGCUUAACUUGGGAACUGCCAUUGAUACUAUCUUUCUUGAAUACCUUGGAGGUGAGCGGAAUAUGUCAUGUAGCGGUGAAAAUGCUUAGAUAUGACAUAGAACACCAAUUGCGAAGGCAGCUCACUACACGGUCAUUGACACUGAGGCACGAAAGCGUGGGGAUCAAACAGG
rnacentral:rRNA from 1 species